AGAGUUUGAUCAUGGCUCAGAUUGAACGCUGGCGGCAGGCCUAACACAUGCAAGUCGAGCGGUAGCACAGAGAGCUUGCUCUCGGGUGACGAGCGGCGGACGGGUGAGUAAUGUCUGGGAAACUGCCUGAUGGAGGGGGAUAACUACUGGAAACGGUAGCUAAUACCGCAUAACGUCGCAAGACCAAAGUGGGGGACCUUCGGGCCUCAUGCCAUCAGAUGUGCCCAGAUGGGAUUAGCUAGUAGGUGGGGUAACGGCUCACCUAGGCGACGAUCCCUAGCUGGUCUGAGAGGAUGACCAGCCACACUGGAACUGAGACACGGUCCAGACUCCUACGGGAGGCAGCAGUGGGGAAUAUUGCACAAUGGGCGCAAGCCUGAUGCAGCCAUGCCGCGUGUGUGAAGAAGGCCUUCGGGUUGUAAAGCACUUUCAGCGGGGAGGAAGGCGAUAAGGUUAAUAACCUUGUCGAUUGACGUUACCCGCAGAAGAAGCACCGGCUAACUCCGUGCCAGCAGCCGCGGUAAUACGGAGGGUGCAAGCGUUAAUCGGAAUUACUGGGCGUAAAGCGCACGCAGGCGGUCUGUCAAGUCGGAUGUGAAAUCCCCGGGCUCAACCUGGGAACUGCAUUCGAAACUGGCAGGCUAGAGUCUUGUAGAGGGGGGGAGAAUUCCAGGUGUAGCGGUGAAAUGCGUAGAGAUCUGGAGGAAUACCGGUGGCGAAGGCGGCCCCCUGGACAAAGACUGACGCUCAGGUGCGAAAGCGUGGGGAGCAAACAGGAUUAGAUACCCUGGUAGUCCACGCCGUAAACGAUGUCGAUUUGGAGGUUGUGCCCUUGAGGCGUGGCUUCCGGAGCUAACGCGUUAAAUCGACCGCCUGGGGAGUACGGCCGCAAGGUUAAAACUCAAAUGAAUUGACGGGGGCCCGCACAAGCGGUGGAGCAUGUGGUUUAAUUCGAUGCAACGCGAAGAACCUUACCUGGUCUUGACAUCCACAGAACUUACCAGAGAUGCAUUGGUGCCUUCGGGAACUGUGAGACAGGUGCUGCAUGGCUGUCGUCAGCUCGUGUUGUGAAAUGUUGGGUUAAGUCCCGCAACGAGCGCAACCCUUAUCCUUUGUUGCCAGCGGUCCGGCCGGGAACUCAAAGGAGACUGCCAGUGAUAAACUGGAGGAAGGUGGGGAUGACGUCAAGUCAUCAUGGCCCUUACGACCAGGGCUACACACGUGCUACAAUGGCAUAUACAAAGAGAAGCGACCUCGCGAGAGCAAGCGGACCUCAUAAAGUAUGUCGUAGUCCGGAUUGGAGUCUGCAACUCGACUCCAUGAAGUCGGAAUCGCUAGUAAUCGUAGAUCAGAAUGCUACGGUGAAUACGUUCCCGGGCCUUGUACACACCGCCCGUCACACCAUGGGAGUGGGUUGCAAAAGAAGUAGGUAGCUUAACCUUCGGGAGGGCGCUUACCACUUUGUGAUUCAUGACUGGGGUGAAGUCGUAACAAGGUAACCGUAGGGGAACCUGCGGUUGGAUCACCU
rnacentral:rRNA from 1 species